UAUUGUGAUGAUUUUCUUUUAUAUUUGCUACUUCAGACGUUGCUUGCCAGCUUCGAAUGAGACAUAUUUUUUAUCACCAAGAUCUCUGAUA